rnacentral:tRNA from 1 species
GCCUUCGUGGUGUAGUGAGCAGCACGCUCGACGCGUAACCGAGAGGUCCGUGGUUCGAUUCCCGGCGAAGGCG